CGGUGGCGAACGGGUGAGUAAUAUAUUGGACGUACCGAGUAAUGGGGGAUAACCAAUCGAAAGAUUGGCUAAUACCGCAUACGCUCUGAGGAGGAAAGCAGGGGACCUUCGGGCCUUGCGUUAUUCGAGCGGCCAAUAUCUGAUUAGCUAGUUGGUGGGGUAAAGGCCUACUAAGGCGACGAUCAGUAGCGGGUCUGAGAGGAUGAUCCGCCACACUGGGACUGAGGCACGGCCCAG
rnacentral:rRNA from 1 species